UGAGUGCGAGCGGCUACGGCCGCGAAGUGGGUGAUGUCAAGCUUCCAAGAAAAGCCCUAUACCCGUUAAGGCAUGAUGGCCUGUACCCGAAACCGACACAGGUGGGGUGGUAGAGAAUACCGAGGGGCGCGAGGUAACUCUCUCUAAGGAACUCGGCAAAAUGGCCCCGUAACUUCGGGAGAAGGGGUGCCACCGCAAGGUGGUCGCAGUGAAGAGGCCCAGGCGACUGUUUACCAAAAACACAGGUCUCCGCUAAGUCGCAAGACGAUGUAUGGGGGCUGACGCCUGCCCAGUGCCGGAAGGUUAAGGAAGCUGGUCAGCGCAAGCGAAGCUGGCGACUGAAGCCCCGGUGAACGGCGGCCGUAACUAUAACGGUCCUAAGGUAGCGAAAUUCCUUGUCGGGUAAGUUCCGACCCGCACGAAAGGCGUAACGAUCUGGGCGCUGUCUCGGAGAGAGGCUCGGCGAAAUAGAAUUGUCUGUGAAGAUGCGGACUACGUGCACCCGGACAGAAAGACCCUAUGAAGCUUUACUGUAGCUUGGUAUUGUGCCCGGGCUCUGAAUGCGCAGGAUAGGUGGGAGGCUUUGAUCCAUGGCUUGCGGGUCAUGGUGAGCCAACGGUGAGAUACCACUCUUUCAGAGCUAGGGUUCUAACGGUCACCCGUCAUCCGGGGACCGGACAGUAUCAGGUGGGCAGUUUGACUGGGGCGGUCGCCUCCUAAAAGGUAACGGAGGCGCGCAAAGGUUUGCUCAGGCUGGUUGGAAAUCAGCCGACGAGUGCAAAAGCAGAAGCAAGCUUGACUGUGAGACCUACAAGUCGAACAGGGACGAAAGUCGGCUUUAGUGAUCCGACGGUUCUGAGUGGAAGGGCCGUCGCUCAACGGAUAAAAGUUACUCUAAGGAUAACAGGCUGAUCUCCCCCAAGAGUUCACAUCGACGGGGAGGUUUGGCACCUCGAUGUCGGCUCAUCGCAACCUGGGGCUGAAGUCGGUCCCAAGGGUUGGGCUGUUCGCCCAUUAAAGCGGUACGCGAGCUGGGUUCAGAACGUCGUGAGACAGUUCGGUCCAUAUCCGGUGCACGCGCAGGAACAUUGAGAGGAUUUCUCCCUAGUACGAGAGGACCGGGAGGAACGCACCUCUGGUGUGCCAGUUAUCGUGCCAACGGUAAACGCUGGGUAGCCAUGUGCGGAGUGGAUAACCGCUGAAAGCAUCUAAGUGGGAAGCCCACCUCAAGAUGAGUGUUCCCAUGGCAUAAGCCAGUAAGGUCACGGGAAGAACACCCGUUGAUAGGCUCUACGUAGAAGCCGGGUAACCGGUGAAGCGGAGGAGUACUAAUAGACCGAGGGCUUGACCU
rnacentral:rRNA from 1 species